rnacentral:rRNA from 1 species
UUGGACUCGAGUGCAGGAGGGGCAAAUGGAAUUCCUAGUGUAGCGGUGGAAUGCGUAGAUAUUAGGAGGAACACCAGUGGCGAAGGCGAUUUGCUGGACUGUAACUGACACUGAGGCACGAAAGCGUGGGGAGCAAACAGGAUUAGAUACCCUGGUAGUCCACGCUGUAAACGAUGAAUACUAGGUGUAGGGGGUAUCGAUUCCCUCUGUGCCGCCGCUAACGCAUUAAGUAUUCCGCCUGGGGACUACGGCCGCAAGGUUGAAACUCAAAGAAAUUGACGGGGACCCGCACAAGCAGCGGAGCAUGUGGUUUAAUUCGACGCAACGCGAAAAACCUUACCAGGCCUUGACAUCGAGUGAAAGUCCAAGAGAUUGGACCCUCCUUCGGGACACGAAGACAGGUGCUGCAUGGUUGUCGUCAGCUCGUGUCGUGAGAUGUUAGGUUAAGUCCUGCAACGAGCGCAACCCUCAUAUGUAGUUGCCAUCAUUAAGUUGGGCACUCUGCAUAGACUGCCGUGGUCAACACGGAGGAAGGUGGGGAUGACGUCAAAUCAUCACGGCCCUUACGGCCUGGGCUACACACGUGCUACAAUGGCUAUUACAAAGAGUUGCAAUACAGUAAUGUGGAGCGAAUCUCAAAAAGAUAGUCUCAGUUCGGACUGUGGGCUGCAACCCGCCCACACGAAGUCGGAGUUGCUAGUAAUCCCGAAUCAGCAUGUCGGGGUGAAUGCGUUCCCGGGUCUUGUACACACCGCCCGUCACGCCAUGGGAGUCGGAAGUGCCCAAAGUCGGUGACCUAACCGCAAGGAAGGAGCAGCCGAAGGCAGGUCGGAUGACUGGGGUGAAGUCGUAACAAGGUAGCCGUAA